rnacentral:rRNA from 1 species
CCUUUUGUAUAAUGGGUCAGCGACUUAUAUUCUGUAGCAAGGUUAACCGAAUAGGGGAGCCGAAGGGAAACCGAGUCUUAACUGGGCGUUAAGUUGCAGGGUAUAGACCCGAAACCCGGUGAUCUAGCCAUGGGCAGGUUGAAGGUUGGGUAACACUAACUGGAGGACCGAACCGACUAAUGUUGAAAAAUUAGCGGAUGACUUGUGGCUGGGGGUGAAAGGCCAAUCAAACCGGGAGAUAGCUGGUUCUCCCCGAAAGCUAUUUAGGUAGCGCCUCGUGAAUUCAUCUCCGGGGGUAGAGCACUGUUUCGGCAAGGGGGUCAUCCCGACUUACCAACCCGAUGCAAACUGCGAAUACCGGAGAAUGUUAUCACGGGAGACACACGGCGGGUGCUAACGUCCGUCGUGAAGAGGGAAACAACCCAGACCGCCAGCUAAGGUCCCAAAGUCAUGGUUAAGUGGGAAACGAUGUGGGAAGGCCCAGACAGCCAGGAUGUUGGCUUAGAAGCAGCCAUCAUUUAAAGAAAGCGUAAUAGCUCACUGGUCGAGUCGGCCUGCGCGGAAGAUGUAACGGGGCUAAACCAUGCACCGAAGCUGCGGCAGCGACGCUGAUGCGUUGUUGGGUAGGGGAGCGUUCUGUAAGCCUGUGAAGGUGUACUGUGAGGUAUGCUGGAGGUAUCAGAAGUGCGAAUGCUGACAUAAGUAACGAUAAAGCGGGUGAAAAGCCCGCUCGCCGGAAGACCAAGGGUUCCUGUCCAACGUUAAUCGGGGCAGGGUGAGUCGACCCCUAAGGCGAGGCCGAAAGGCGUAGUCGAUGGGAAACAGGUUAAUAUUCCUGUACUUGGUGUUACUGCGA